UGGGGAAUAUUGCACAAUGGGCGCAAGCCUGAUGCAGCCAUGCCGCGUGUAUGAAGAAGGCCUUCGGGUUGUAAAGUACUUUCAGCGGGGAGGAAGGGAGUAAAGUUAAUACCUUUGCUCAUUGACGUUACCCGCAGAAGAAGCACUGGCUAACUCCGUGCCAGCAGCCGCGGUAAUACGGAGGGUGCAAGCGUUAAUCGGAAUUACUGGGCGUAAAGCGCACGCAGGCGGUUUGUUAAGUCAGAUGUGAAAUCCCCGGGCUCAACCUGGGAACUGCAUCUGAUACUGGCAAGCUUGAGUAUCGUAGAGGGGGGUAGAAUUCCAGGUGUAGCGGUGAAAUGCGUAGAGAUCUGGAGGAAUACCGGUGGCGAAGGCGGCCCCCUGGACGAAGACUGACGCUCAGGUGCGAAAGCGUGGGGAGCAAACAGG
rnacentral:rRNA from 1 species